rnacentral:rRNA from 1 species
AGUGAACGCUGGCGGUAGGCCUAACACAUGCAAGUCGAACGGCAGCACAGUAAGAGCUUGCUCUUACGGGUGGCGAGUGGCGGACGGGUGAGGCAUACAUCGGAAUCUACUUUUUCGUGGGGGAUAACGUAGGGAAACUUACGCUAAUACCGCAUACGACCUACGGGUGAAAGCAGGGGAUCUUCGGACCUUGCGCGAUUGAAUGAGCCGAUGUCGGAUUAGCUAGUUGGCGGGGUAAAGGCCCACCAAGGCGACGAUCCGUAGCUGGUCUGAGAGGAUGAUCAGACACACUGGAACUGAGACACGGUCCAGACUCCUACGGGAGGCAGCAGUGGGGAAUAUUGGACAAUGGGCGCAAGCCUGAUCCAGCCAUACCGCGUGGGUGAAGAAGGCCUGCGGGUUGUAAAGCCCUUUUGUUGGGAAAGAAAAGCAGCAGGUUAAUACCCCGCUGUUCUGACGGUACCCAAAGAAUAAGCACCGGCUAACUUCGUG